GACGAACGCUGGCGGCGUGCUUAACACAUGCAAGUCGAACGGAAAGGCCCUGCUUUUGUGGGGUGCUCGAGUGGCGAACGGGUGAAUAACACGUGAGUAACCUGCCCUUGACUUUGGGAUAACUUCAGGAAACUGGCGCUAAUACCGGAUAGGAGCACCUGCUGCAUGGAGGGGGUUGGAAAGUUUCGGCGGUUGGGGAUGGACUCGCGGCUGAUCAGCUUGUUGGUGGGGUAGUGGCUUACCAAGGCGUUGACGGGUAGCCGGCCUGAGAGGGUGACCGGCCACAUUGGGACUGAGAUACGGCCAGACUCCUACGGGAGGCAGCAGUGGGGAAUAUUGCACAAUGGGCGGAAGCCUGAUGCAGCAACGCCGCGUGCGGGAUGACGGCCUUCGGGUUGUAAACCGCUUUCGCCUGUGACGAAGCGUGAGUGACGGUAAUGGGUAAAGAAGCACCGGCUAACUACGUG
rnacentral:rRNA from 1 species